rnacentral:rRNA from 1 species
GAUGAACGCUGGCGGCGUGCCUAAUACAUGCCAGUCGAACGGACGGACGAGAAGCUUGCUGCUCGGAUGUUAGCGGAGCACGGGUGUGUCACACGUGGAUAACCUCCCUAUAAUUGUGGUAAAAUUUCGGGAAACGGGAGCAAAUACCGGAUAAUAUUUUGCACCGCAGGGGGCAAUAGUGAAAUACGGUGGUGCUGUCACGUAUAGAGGGUUCCCGGCUGCUUUGGCGGGUUGGUAAGGUAACGGCUUAUCAAGGCAACGAUGCAUAGCCGACCUGAGAGGGUGAUCGGCGACACGAGAAGUGAGACACGGUCCUGAGUCCUACGGGAGGCAGCAGUAGCGAACCUUCCGCAGUGGGCGAAAGCCUGACGGAGCAACGCCGCGUCAGUGAUGACGGCCUUCGGAUCGUAAAACUCUGUUAUGAGGGAAGAACCUAUGUGGAAGUAACUGAGCACAGCGUGACGGUACCUAAUCAGAAAGCCCCGGCUAACUACGUG